rnacentral:sRNA from 1 species
CAGAUUUGCUGGCCCCAGAGGGGCAGGAGGGGCUGGCAAGGCCCCUUCCAGACUUUGCUAACUCUGCCUUCCCACAGGGGCUUCUUCACGUGCCUUGGCCGCGAGGGGCGGGUGUAUGAUGACCUCAAGUAUGUGUGGCUGCAGGGGAGGCAGGUAUGGAUGUAUUGUCGCCUGUACCGCACUUUCGAGCGCUUCCGCCAUGCUCAGCUUCUGGACGCAGCAAAAGCAGGUGGUGAGUUCUUGCUGCGUUAUGCCCGGGUGGCACCUCCUGGCAAGAAGUGUGCCUUUGUGCUGACUCGGGACGGCCGCCCGGUCAAGGUGCAGCGGACCAUCUUCAGCGAGUGUUUCUACACCAUGGCCAUGAACGAGCUGUGGAGGGCCACAGGGGAAGCACGGUACCAGACGGAAGCGGUGGAGAUGAUGG